ACAAUGUUAGCUCAGUUGGUUAGAUCGUGGGUCUAAUAAGCCUAAGGUCUUAGGUUCGACAACUGCUGGCGACACACUGUU